GCCAUUUUUGGUAAGCAGAACUGGCGCUGUGGGAUGAACCAAACGCGGUGUUAAGGUGCCAAACUUCCCGCUCAUGAGACCCCAUAAAAGGUGUUGGUUGAUAUAGACAGCAGGACGGUGGCCAUGGAAGUCGGAAACCGCUAAGGAAUGUGUAACAACUCACCUGCCGAAUCAACUAGCCCUGAAAAUGGAUGGCGCUUGAGCGGGAGACCUAUACUCCGCCGUUAGUGACUUGAGCGCUGAAAGGCGUCGCCUGGUCCUAACGAGUAGGUGGGUCGUAACAGUGGCGUUGAAGGCUUUGGGUGUGGACCCAGCUGGAGCCGCUGUUAGUGCAGAUCUUGGUGGUAGUAGCAAAUAUUCAAGUGAGAUCCUUGAAGACUGAAGUGGAGAAGGGUUCCACGUGAACAGCAGUUGGAUGUGGCUCAGUCGGUCCUAAGCCAACGGCUAAUGCCGUCAAACAUUGAGGGAGGAAUGGUCAAACAUUCCGCUCGAUUGGCGAAAGGGAAGCAGGUUAAUAUUCCUGCACCAGGUACACGGAGAUGGCUGGAUCGCUUCACGGCGGUUCAGUUAAGCGCGGUAACGCAAAUGAACAUGUCAACCUUGGCCAGGGUCCGAGUCAGAGUUCUCUUUUCUGAUUUAGACGUCGAAUCCGUGGAAACGGUAUUAGCCGGAGAUACGGAUGAUGGCGUCGUAAAGCACCGCGGUUCCUGUGGUGUCUCGUGCGCUCUGGUCGAGCCUUGAAAAGGCAUGGGAAGCUUAGUAAAUUUCGUGCCUGGCCGUACCGAUAUCCGCAGCAGGUCUCCAAGGUGAACAGCCUCUAGUCGAUAGAAUAAUGUAGGUAAGGGAAGUCGGCAAAUUAGAUCCGUAACUUCGGGAAAAGGAUUGGCUCUAAAGGUUGGGCUGGUCGGGCUUUGGUGUGAAGCGCGGAGGUUCGGCGCGUGGCUGCACGAGGCUUCGGCCGAGUGCGGACUAGUCGUUGGACUACUGCGUGGAGCGCCUUAGCUGCGUGCGUAGUUUCGGCUGCGUACUUCGGCCAGCGUGAAACAACCCACUUAGAACUGGCACGGACUCGGGGAAUCCGACUGUCUAAUUAAAACAGAGGAGAUGGAUGGUCCUUGUGGACGUUGACCAUCUCUGAUUUCUGCCCAGUGCUCUGAAUGUUAAUUUAAGGAAACUUAAUUAAGCGCGGGUAAACGGCGGGAGUAACUAUGACUCUCUUAAGGUAGCCAAAUGCCUCGCCAUCUAAUUAGUGGCGCGCAUGAAUGGAUUAACGAGAUUCCCACUGUCCCUAUCUACUAUCUAGCGAAACCACAGCCAAGGGAACGGGCUUGGCAAAAACAGCGGGGAAAGAAGACCCUGUUGAGCUUGACUCUAGUCUGACUCUGUGAAGAAUCAUGAGAGGUGUAGCAUAAGUGGGAGGUUUCGGCCGACAGUGAAAUACCACUACUUUCAUCGAUUCCUUACUUAUUCGGUAAAACGGGAAUUGGCUUUUAACGAGCCUUGAUUUUGGUGUUAAGGUUGGACACUCGGUGUCUGAUCGACCCGCGCCGACGACCGUGUCAGGCGGGGAGUUUGACUGGGGCGGUACAUCUGUCAAAUCGUAACGCAGGUGUCCUAAGGCUAGCUCAGAGAGGACAGAAACCUCUCGUAGAGUAAAAGGGCAAAAGCUUGCUUGAUCUUGAUUUUCAGUACGAAUACAGACCGCGAAAGCGUGGCCUAUCGAUCCUUUUGAUUAAUAAAGUUUCUUGCAAGAGGUGUCAGAAAAGUUACCACAGGGAUAACUGGCUUGUGGCAGCCAAGCGUCCAUAGCGACGUUGCUUUUUGAUCCUUCGAUGUCGGCUCUUCCUAUCAUUGCGAAGA
rnacentral:rRNA from 1 species